UCUCCAGCAGCUGACAUGCGGGGCCCAUCCGUCAGCUUCUUCUCCUUCCCCAACUGCUCCCUUCGCACACACGCAACAACCACCCGAGCUGCGCCCCGCUCCCACGAAUCCCCCUCGCCCCGCGCUUCGGCCGUUUUGAGGAGCGUCCAUGCCCGAGCCGCACUCCCUCUCCUCAUUCCCCUCCCAUUCCGCUCUCUCGCUCGCCC
rnacentral:lncRNA from 1 species